AUAUUGCACAAUGGGGGCAAGCCUGAUGCAGCCAUGCCGCGUGUAUGAAGAAGGCCUUCGGGCUGUAAAGUACUUUCAGCGGGGAGGAAGGCGAUAAGGUUAAUAACCUUGUCGAUUGACGUUACCCGCAGAAGAAGCACCGGCUAACUCCGUGCCAGCAGCCGCGGUAAUACGGAGGGUGCAAGCGUUAAUCGGAAUUACUGGGCGUAAAGCGCACGCAGGCGGUCUGUCAAGUCAGAUGUGAAAUCCCCGGGCUCAACCUGGGAACUGCAUUCGAAACUGGCAGGCUAGAGUCUUGUAGAGGGGGGUAGAAUUCCAGGUAUAGCGGUGAAAUGCGUAGAGAUCUAGAAGAAUACCGGUGGCGAACGCGGCCCCCUGGACAAAGACUGACGCUCAGGUGCGAAAGCGUGGGGAGCAAAC
rnacentral:rRNA from 1 species